rnacentral:piRNA from 1 species
UGGAUGAACAAAAGACAACAGAAUCACCUC